rnacentral:rRNA from 1 species
UGGGGAAUCUUCCGCAAUGGGCGAAAGCCUGACGGAGCAACGCCGCGUGAGUGAAGACGGCCUUCGGGUUGUAAAACUCUGUGAUUCGGGACGAAAGAUAAGCAGACGAAUAAUCUGCAUAAGUGACGGUACCGAAAAAGCAAGCCACGGCUAACUACGUGCCAGCAGCCGCGGUAAUACGGAGGAUGCGAGCGUUAUCCGGAAUUAUUGGGUUUAAAGGGUGCGUAGGUUGCAAGGGAAGUCAGGGGUGAAAAGCUAUAGCUCAACUAUGGUCUUGCCUUUGAAACUCUCUAGCUAGAGUGUACUGGAGGUACGUGGAACGUGUGGUGUAGCGGUGAAAUGCAUAGAUAUCACACAGAACUCCGAUUGCGCAGGCAGCGUACUACAUUACAACUGACACUGAAGCACGAAAGCGUGGGUAUCAAACAGG